AAAGUCGUAACAAGGUUUCCGUAGGUGAACCUGCGGAAGGAUCAUUCAUAAUAAGUGUUUAUGGCACUUUUAAAAAAUCCAUACCCACCUUGUGUGCAUCGUUAGUCAUGUUCUUCGUUCUCUCUCGAGGGGACGGUGGAGGCAGACUUCAAAUUAAUCUAUCUUUAACCAGUUUGUCUGAAGCAAUGUAUCGUGAAUUAACAUAAUUCUAAAAUACAACUUUCAACAACGGAUCUCUUGGCUCUC
rnacentral:misc_RNA from 1 species